ACCCGGGUAGCUUAAGGGCAGAGCAUCUGACUUCUAAUCAGAAGAUUCGGGUUCGAAUCCCGGCUUGGGUG
rnacentral:tRNA from 1 species